rnacentral:lncRNA from 1 species
CUUGCAGGGACAGAACGUCAUCAAUAUAUCUUAAAAUGAUUUCAAAAUCUUUUUUUGUUUUGUAUGAAUUCAAUUUCAUAUGAAUACAAGUCCGCCAUUAGUGGUGCACCAUUAUUACCCAUUGAAAUAAACCAACUGUUGAAAUAUCAAUCCAUCAACUCAACAAAUAUGAUGUCGAUCAAAUGGUCUAGUAUUUUAAUGAUACCAUCA